CCUAGUGGGGAAAGAACAAGGCAGAGUCAGAGCUGCCCUGAGCUGACUGCACAGAGGCCACACUGCCAGUGUGCAUGCUUCACCUGCUGCUGCUGCCCCUGCUGGACACGCCCCGUGCUGAGCAUGCAAAGGCAACAGAAGCGCCAGGAGACGGCUCAGAGGGUAAGUGAAGUGGCCUCCACCAGUCAAGCCCGGCAAGCUUUAAGUCUCCAGAGUCCACAUGGCAGAAGAAGAGAAAGGAUCCCCCCUAGGUCAUCCUCUGACCCCACCCAUCCUGUGGCAUGAGCAUGCUCACACCUACACAAAAUCAAUAAAUGCGUGUAAACAUUG